rnacentral:tRNA from 3 species
GGCCCGUUCGUCUAGCGGUUAGGACGCCGCCCUCUCAAGGCGGUAACAGGGGUUCGAUUCCCCUACGGGCUACCA